AAAGUAAGAAGUGAACAAGUGCUUUCAACAUGGCAACCUGUGUGCACAGAUGUUCAAACAAAACUAACCCAAGCGAAACAGUAACCAAAAAGAUGGCAGUGUCAAAUUCCCUGAUGACCACCUGCUGUGGAUUUAUCUAUUGCAACAAUAAAUUCACAAGCUGAGCCAGAUGUGCUGUUCAUUUACAACAUGUCAUGGUUGGUGAGCAGCAGACCAUGGUUUUAAUACAUCACAACCUCUGGUGUAGCAGUCACACACUGAUAUCGCUGUGCUGGGAUGCCUUUGGUGUUCACAUUCUCUUAAAUCAAUAAGUUGUAUUUUCAUUUGCUUAUCAGCCUUAAUUAUGUUAUCACAGAAUAGGAAAUGCUAUUGGUGGUUUGUGUUCAAGAAAAAAAUCCAACUAAAUACUUCUAUUAACAAUAUUACCUUUUCUGUGGU